rnacentral:rRNA from 1 species
CGAGACGAACGCUGGCGGCGUGCCUAAUACAUGCAAGUCGAACGGUCUUUUCUAUGGAAGCUUGCUUCCACUGAGAAGAUAGUGGCGAACGGGUGAGUAACACGUGGGUAACCUGCCCAUAAGAGGGGGAUAACAUCCGGAAACGGGUGCUAAUACCGCAUAGUUUUCUUGAUCGCAUGAUUGAGAAAGGAAAGACGGCCUUUGUGCUGUCGCUUAUGGAUGGACCCGCGGCGUAUUAGUUAGUUGGUGAGGUAACGGCUCACCAAGACGAUGAUACGUAGCCGACCUGAGAGGGUGAUCGGCCACAUUGGGACUGAGACACGGCCCAAACUCCUACGGGAGGCAGCAGUAGGGAAUCUUCCGCAAUGGACGAAAGUCUGACGGAGCAACGCCGCGUGAGUGAAGAAAAGGUUUUCGGAUCGUAAAACUCUGUUGUCAGAGAAGAACAAGUUGGAGAGUAACUGCUCCAGCCUUGACGGUAUCUGACCAGAAAGCCACGGCUAACUACGUGCCAGCCGCAGC